GCUAAUUUGGCAGAAUAGUGCUUUAAAUUUAGAAUUUGAAAAUGUAAGGAAAUCAUAUACAGUUAGUA
rnacentral:tRNA from 1 species